rnacentral:rRNA from 1 species
AGCAGCCGCGGUAAUUCCAGCUCCAAUAGCGUAUAUUAAAGUUGUUGCAGUUAAAAAGCUCGUAGUUGAAUUUCGGGAUCAAUUUAUUGGUCGUGCCAACGGUACGUACUGGUACAAUUGGUUUCUCCCUUCUGACGAAGCAUGAUGUCAUUAACUUGAUGUCGUGGGGAAUCAGGACUGUUACUUUGAAAAAUUAGAGUGUUUAAAGCAGGCUUUGGCUUGAAUACAUUAGCAUGGAAUAAUGAAAUAGGACGUUUGAUCUUAUUUCGUUGGUUUCUAAGAUCGACGUAAUGAUUAAUAGGGAUAGUUGGGGGCAUUAGUAUUCAAUUGUCAGAGGUGAAAUUCUUGGAUUUAUUGAAGACUAACUACUGCGAAAGCAAUUUGCCAAGGAUGUUUUCAUUAAUCAAGAACGAAAGUUAGGGGAUCGAAGACGAUCAGAUACCGUCGUAG